rnacentral:lncRNA from 1 species
AGCCUCACGUUCAGCAAUGGAAUCAAGAACAUCCUUCUUCAAAUUCUCCUGCUGGUUCAGAGAUUAAUAUUAAAGAACUCAAAUAUACGGAAAGAAACUAAAAUUGUGAAACUUGAAUCAAAAGCAUUGGUGAAGGCCACAUAAUAAUGAACUUUGUUAACACAUUUCCCGAAAAAACUUGCCCAAAGUUCUAGGUCAGAGGGAGUGUUGGGCAGAGCCAGGUCAGCAUUCACUUGAUCAAGUAUAAUCUCCAACGAGGCCAGUUCGAAAUCCUGUUGGAUUAAAUAGUAAUAUUAGAGAAACUAAAAUUGUGAAACUAGGAUCAAAAGAAAGCAAUUGCAAAACUUGCCGUGGCUUUGGUUUUUCUCAUACAAAAUUUGUGCUUGGGAGGUUGUGGGUGAUACAGGCCUAGGCGGUGAGAACAGUCUGAGCGGCCCCAAGGCAUUUUUGCGCUUGUGAGAUGUCAAAAGAUUGGGGAGAGAAGAGACUCAGCUGCAUAUAUAAUACGAAAGAAAUAAAUAGUUAGUGAAAUAUGGCUUUCAUCAAAAAAUAGGAAUCAAAAAAAGAAAACAUGAUGGAAAAGAAAAACCUCUGAACCUGAUAUGGUUAUAUCAAACACUAUAACAAAAGAAAAUACAUAGCAGCACAUAAUUCAGUGAAGCAACGGAAAUAGAUAAAGCAAGUGUGUUACUGAAGCAUUGUGGUAUGCAAUUUUAUCGUAUGCAAUUUUAAAACCCUAACCCCCAAAUUAAGAGAAGAAUGUUUGAGCAAUCGGUUCAAGCAUUGGAAAAGGAAAGAGAAGAAUGACAAACAAACGAAAAUUCAAUUCGUACCUGCGAGGAUCGGAGAGAAAGAGAGAACUUAAUCGUGUAAUCGUCGAGAGAGGAGAGAAAGAGAGAAGAGAAAUUUAUAAAGCAGUUGCAUAAAAUGAUUAAAUCAGAAUACUAGUGACACUUUAAAUUCAAUUCAGUAUAGCUUAAACUUAAAAGCAUUGACAAUCAACUAUCUAAAGUAAAAUACUAAAAUUGUUUGAAUUUUAAUCCAAAAAUUGUUCUUUAUGUUUGACUCAAAAUUUACUCAAGGUCAUAUUCAUCUAGUCAAAACAGACACAAAGUAGCAAACUCUAUUUAUAUACCAGGAUGUCUUAUUAUAUAAGAAAAACCAAACCAUACUUCUAACUAUAAAAUUUUGAUCGAUUAGUCAUUCCAAUAACCAUUAUAUUUUAACUCACCAAGGAUAACUAGAACAAUGGACUAAUUUUAUUCAUGGUUGCACUCAUAAAAAUAUGGCCCGUUUAAAUAGAAUUCAAUAAAAAGAUUUAGAGAAUGGUUCCAGCAUAAAUAAGUGCUAAAAGUUUCAACAGUCUUGUUCUACUAGCAUCGUUUACAUAUAUAUAACUAUAAAAAAGAAAGAUUUUUUACUUGAUUAUGAUAAUUCUCUUAAGGUUUGCUCUAAUCUCUCUAAUAGCUCUUCAUCCUUCUCCGCUAUGGUUCUUCCUUUUUUCUCUAUUCUUCAAAGUGUAGAAUCAGUAAAGUGGUGACUAAAUAGAUUAUCAAUAGUGAACUAACCCUUCCACUAACUCCCGGAAACCGUCCACCUAUGAAAAUAGAAUUGAAAUGAUAAAUUCAACAAAAGAAAUUAAUUAACUUCAUGUAAGAAUCAUCCAACUUACUUUUCUUUACAAAAAUAAGGAAGAACUUGCUUUUCUUUACAAUAUUUAUAUGAGAAUGUUACAAUAUAUUUUUAUCUAGUCUGUCUAUUCUUGAACUACGAAAAUGUAAAUAACAGCAAAACUGUUUGAACAAAACAGACAGCCAAGCACAAGCGCAUCCUAACCCCAACUUGAUGGUACACAAAUAAUUAUAUACUGAGUAAACUCAGUAAUAAAAAGUAAACAAAAUAUGCAUCAAGUAAUCUAUGUGAAGAACAUGUCAGUAAUACUUUACCAACGGUAUCAGAAAAAAAGAGAAGAACAUGACAGUAAUACUUUACUUCCAUCAUUCUGGCUUGGUUAACCUCCAAAUGAUGGACAUCAAACAGCCUAGCUAAACUAUUCCUGUAUAUAAACGGCAAAUCUCUCUCUCUAGCAUAAACCUUUAGUUACCUUGUACUGAUGUCAUUUAAUGUCCUUUAGCAUUAAAAUUUGAGGUACUAAUAACAGAACCAAAUAUACUUAUGAUAGUUGGUAAAAGUCGAAAUUCUAUACAAAGAUGCAAUAAAAGUCCAUUGAACUGGAGUAAGCAUCAAGUUUGUGAGGCUAAGAAAUUUAAGUGCAACAUAUACAUACAAACUCAAGAUACAUUAAGUAUGUGUAGGUGCUUUGUAAUUUUUGCUGUUGUGUUAACCAUCUGUUUCAUAGGGGAAAGAGCCCCUAACAAUCCAGAGUUCCACCAGGAGGUAAGUAAAGUAAAGCCUGACUAAAAGUUGUUACAUCUCAAACAUGUUUUGCUUUUUAAUACUAUCUAUGUAUUUGCUUCUACAAACAUGGCAACUUUUUUGUCUUUUUAUUUUAUAUACAGGAAAUAAGCUUCAUUCAUUCAAAUGCUAAGAGAGCAACAAUACAAUCAAAGGAUCAUUAGACACUCCCCAUCCAUAAAUGAGGACUUAUUAAGAUAGAUGCUAAGGGUACAUAUUGAACUUUCAGAAGGCAUUAAGGCAGUAACAAAACAAAAUCCAAAUCCAAACAACCAAGCUAAAUUCUUAAACAUAGUGUUAUUAUACACAACACAGUCAACAUGACUUAUUUAUUAUGUUUCUUGGAACAUCUAAAACAAACGAAGGAAUAUCAAGUCUCCAACACUAUAUUUCCCUCCUACUUCGGAACUUCAGUUGUUUUGGCUGUCUGCUUUGGAGCUUUAGCAGAAACUCUGCAAUGAAACUCGAGCUUUGGAGCCAAUAUUUCAGCCUCACGUUCAGCCAAUAUUUCAGCCUCACGUUCAGCCAAUAUUUCAGCCUCACGUGCAGCCAAUAUUUCAGCCUCACGUUCAGCCAAUAUUUCAGCCUCACGUUCAGCAAUGGAAUCAAGAACAUCCUUCUUCAAAUUCUUCUGCUGGUUCAGAGAUUAAUAUUAAAGAACUGAAAUAUACGGAAAGAAACUAAAACUGUGAAACUUGAAUCAAAAGCAUUGGUGAAGGCAACAUAAUAAUAAACUUUGUUAACACAUUUCCCGAAAAAACUUGCCCAAAGUUCUAGGUCAGAGGGAGUGUUGGGCAGAGCCAGGUCAGCAUUCACUUGAUCAAGUAUAAUCUCCAACGAUGCCAGUUCGAAAUCCUGUUGGAUUAAAUAGUAAUAUUAGAGAAACUAAAAUUGUGAAACUAGGAUCAAAAGAAAGCAAUUGCAAAACUUGCCGUGGCUUUGGUUUUUCUCAUACAAAAUUUGUGCUUGGGAGGUUGUGGGUGAUACAGGCCUAGGCGGUGAGAACAGUCAUAGCGGCCCCCAGGCAUUUUUGCGCUUGUGAGAUGUCAAAAGAUUGGGGAGAGAAGAGACUC